GCAACCAUGACUUUGAUCAGCGUCUUCAUCUGCACACUGGCCCUCUGGACUCAAGGAUCCAGAGGUCAGGUGACUGUGACUCAGACUCCUUCAGUGCAAACUGUUGUUCCAGGAAACACAGUCACCAUCAACUGUAAAACCAGUAGCAGAGUGGCUGCUGGUGCUGCUCUCGCCUGGUACCUGCAGAAACCUGGAGAAGCUCCUAAACUCCUGAUCUAUGCUGCUACUGAAUUAGAAUCAGGAACUCCAGAUCGUUUCAGUGGCAGUGGAUCUGGUACUGACUUCACUCUGACCAUCAGUGGAGUCCAGACUGAAGAUGCAGGAGAUUACUACUGUCAGAGUUACCAUAGUGGUGGUGUGUUCACACAGUGUUAGAGCAUCGUACAAAAACCUCGGUCAGUAAAAGUGUACAGAGAAGC